CCUACGGGAGGCAGCAGUGGGGAAUAUUGGGCAAUGGGCGCAAGCCUGACCCAGCAACGCCGCGUGAAGGAAGAAGGCUUUCGGGUUGUAAACUUCUUUUCUCAGGGACGAAGCAAGUGACGGUACCUGAGGAAUAAGUCACGGCUAACUACGUGCCAGCAGCCGCGGGAAUACGUAGGUGGCAAGCGUUAUCCGGAUUUACUGGGUGUAAAGGGCGUGUAGGCGGGAAAGCAAGUCAGAUGUGAAAACCAUGGGCUCAACCUGUGGCCUGCAUUUGAAACUGUUUUUCUUGAGUACUGGAGAGGCAGACGGAAUUCGUAGUGUAGCGGUGAAAUGCGUAGAUAUUAGGAGGAACACCAGUGGCGAAGGCGGUCUGCUGGACAGCAACUGACGCUGAGGCGCGAAAGCGUGGGGAGCAAACAGGAUUAGAUACCCUAGUAGUC
rnacentral:rRNA from 1 species